GUGAGGAAUAUUGGUCAAUGGGCGAGAGCCUGAACCAGCCAAGUAGCGUGCAGGAUGACGGCCCUAUGGGUUGUAAACUGCUUUUACACGGGGAUAAAGUGUGCGACGUGUCGUUCAUUGCAGGUACCGUGCGAAUAAGGACCGGCUAAUUCCGUGCCAGCAGCCGCGGUAAUACGGAAGGUCCGGGCGUUAUCCGGAUUUAUUGGGUUUAAAGGGAGCGUAGGCCGUCUGUUAAGCGUGUUGUGAAAUGUAGAUGCUCAACAUCUGAAUUGCAGCGCGAACUGAACGACUUGAGUGCGCAGGAAGUAGGCGGAAUUCGUGGUGUAGCGGUGAAAUGCUUAGAUAUCACGAAGAACUCCGAUUGCGAAGGCAGCUUACUGUAGCGCCACUGACGCUGAAGCUCGAAAGUGCGGGUAUCGAACAGGAUUAGAAACCCUAGUAGUCC
rnacentral:rRNA from 1 species